UACGUAGGGUCCGAGCGUUGUCCGGAAUUAUUGGGCGUAAAGAGCUCGUAGGCGGCUUGUCGCGUCGACUGUGAAAUCCCGCGGCUCAACCGCGGGUCUGCAGUCGAUACGGGCAGGCUAGAGUUCGGUAGGGGAGACUGGAAUUCCUGGUGUAGCGGUGAAAUGCGCAGAUAUCAGGAGGAACACCGGUGGCGAAGGCGGGUCUCUGGGCCGAUACUGACGCUGAGGAGCGAAAGCGUGGGGAGCGAACAGG
rnacentral:rRNA from 1 species